rnacentral:lncRNA from 1 species
AUUGAUUGAACCUUAUUCUGGGGCUUCGGUUUGGCUUACUAGUUUGGGAUUUUAAAAAAAUAAAAAUUAAGCCUAUAGAGAGGGCAAAUUAAAAUUAGGUUGGGUAAAGGAAGGAGCGCGAGUGUUUGAAGCCGUUUGGAGGGAACAGCGGUUUCCAAGUUCCUGCUGACUUGAGAAGUCUCUGCGGGUUUCCGAAUCUCCGGCGCACUCCUGGGCGCGCUGCGGGAGCUGUAGCUCAGCCAGCCAGGGAGUAGCGGCUUUCAUCCGCCGGGAGGAGUCUUUCGAGUUCAAUCGCGGGGUAUAGAGGUUCCCCUGCGGGGCAAAAUGCAGAGCUUGACACAAGCCCUUGGCCUCUAGGCUCUGAAACUGCGGAGCGGCCACCGGACGCCUUCUGGAGCAGGUAGCAGCAUGCAGCCGCCUCCAAGUCUGUGCGGACGCGCCCUGGUUGCGCUGGUUCUUGCCUGCGGCCUGUCGCGGAUCUGGGGAGAGGAGAGAGGCUUCCCGCCUGACAGGGCCACUCCGCUUUUGCAAACCGCAGAGAUAAUGACGCCACCCACUAAGACCUUAUGGCCCAAGGGUUCCAACGCCAGUCUGGCGCGGUCGUUGGCACCUGCGGAGGUGCCUAAAGGAGACAGGACGGCAG